UGGAUGAUGUGGUUUAAUUCGAUGCAACGCGAAAACCUUACCCACCUUUGACAUGUACGGAACCCUUUAGAGAUAGAGGGGUGCUCGAAAGAGAGCCGUAACACAGGUGCUGCAUGGCUGUCGUCAGCUCGUGUCGUGAGAUGUUGGGUUAAGUCCCGCAACGAGCGCAACCCUUGUCAUUAGUUGCUACAUUCAGUUGGGCACUCUAAUGAGACUGCCGGUGACAAGCCGGAGGAAGGUGGGGAUGACGUCAAGUCCUCAUGGCCCUUAUAGGUGGGGCUACACACGUCAUACAAUGGCUGGUACAAAGGGUUGCCAACCCGCGAGGGGGAGCCAAUCCCAUAAAGCCAGUCGUAGUCCGGAUCGUAGUCUGCAACUCGACUACGUGAAGUCGGAAUCGCUAGUAAUCGUGGAUCAGAAUGUCACGGUGAAUACGUUCCCGGGUCUU
rnacentral:rRNA from 1 species